rnacentral:rRNA from 1 species
GACCUACGGGGGGCUGCAGUGGGGAAUUUUGGACAAUGGGGGCAACCCUGAUCCAGCAAUGCCGCGUGAGUGAAGAAGGCCUUCGGGUUGUAAAGCUCUUUUGUCAGGGAAGAAACACCGGCUCUAACACAGUCCGGGAAUGACGGUACCUGAAGAAUAAGCACCGGCUAACUACGUGCCAGCAGCCGCGGUAAUACGUAGGGUGCGAGCGUUAAUCGGAAUUACUGGGCGUAAAGCGUGCGAAGGCGGUUAUACAAGACAGACGUGAAAUCCCCGGGCUUAACCUGGGAAUGGCGCCUGUGACUGUAUAGCUAGAGUGUGUCAGAGGGGGGUAGAAUUCCACGUGUAGUAGUGAAAUGCGUAGAUAUGUGGAGGAAUACCAAUGGCGAAGGCAGCCCCCUGGGAUAACACUGACGCUCAUGCACGAAAGCGUGGGGAGCAAACAGGAUUAGAUACCCCUGUAGUCA